UACGAAGGGGGCUAGCGUUGUUCGGAAUUACUGGGCGUAAAGCGCACGUAGGCGGAUUGUUAAGUUAGGGGUGAAAUCCCGGGGCUCAACCCCGGAACUGCCUUUAAUACUGGCAAUCUCGAGUCCGAGAGAGGUGAGUGGAAUUCCGAGUGUAGAGGUGAAAUUCGUAGAUAUUCGGAGGAACACCAGUGGCGAAGGCGGCUCACUGGCUCGGUACUGACGCUGAGGUGCGAAAGCGUGGGGAGCAAACAGGG
rnacentral:rRNA from 1 species